GAUGAACGCUGGCGGCGUGCCUAAUACAUGCAAGUCGAGCGAACAGACGAGGAGCUUGCUCCUCUGACGUUAGCGGCGGACGGGUGAGUAACACGUGGAUAACCUACCUAUAAGACUGGGAUAACUUCGGGAAACCGGAUCUAGUACCGGAUAAUAUAUUGAACCGCAUGGUUCAAUAGUGAAAGACGGUUUUGCUGUCACUUAUAGAUGGAUCCGCGCCGCAUUAGCUAGUUGGUAAGGUAACGGCUUACCAAGGCGACGAUGCGUAGCCGACCUGAGAGGGUGAUCGGCCACACUGGAACUGAGACACGGUCCAGACUCCUACGGGAGGCAGCAGUAGGGAAUCUUCCGCAAUGGGCGAAAGCCUGACGGAGCAACGCCGCGUGAGUGAUGAAGGUCUUCGGAUCGUAAAACUCUGUUAUUAGGGAAGAACAAAUGUGUAAGUAACUAUGCACGUCUUGACGGUACCUAAUCAGAAAGCCACGGCUAACUACGUG
rnacentral:rRNA from 1 species